AGUCCUGGAAAUGAUCUUGAUGCUAUCUGUUCCUCGUUACAGCAGACCUGCUCAACUUCAGCAGCUAGAAGGAGGAUUGUCUUUCACCAGCUGCAGGAGCCUGUUCCCACUACAAGCCUGGUGGAGUCUUCGGAGCAGAUGUGACUGUCCUACUUGUAUAGAGAAGAGAAACUGAGGCUCAGAAGAGAUGCCUGGCUGAGUUUAAUAGGACUGCAACAACAAUUUUGCCUUUCUACUUUCUGACCGUUUGCAAAGAAAUUUCCUAAACAUCACCACUGAGGCUCCUUCCAGCAAUGACUCUGGUCCAUCAUUGGGAUUGCUGAGCAGCUGUUUCAUAACAUGAACAAGGAUGUUUUAACCAUGUUUCUUGACCUGGCCAUUUGGAUCCCAAGGAUGUUUUGGUCCAAGAAUAAAUUCCAGAGCUUAGCUCACCGAAGAAGACAGGAAAACUUGUCAGAUGGGGAAGGAUGUGUCAAGAGCAUGCACACAGAUUUACUCUUCAGCUAGAAGCUCCAAUUCCUAGAUGAUCUGAAUCCAACUCAGAGUGCUUGCACCUGUUUCCUGCCACACAGCUAGAGCUGUCCAGUGAGAGAGACAUGAUGGCCCAGCUUGAAAAAGAAAUUGAGGAUAGCAAGUGUAACAUACCAAGCAUUCCACGAGCAGUGUCCCUCUAGGUUCUCUGAUUGGCUGAAGCUACUCUAAGCCAAGAGAUCAAAGAAGCUGAUAAUGUAGAAUGUAAGUUUGUCUCCUGGGCCACAAUGGAAAGCAGAGACUGUAGCUGGAGGAGUGAAUAGAGGAUAUGCAGCUCUGGUAAUUCUCAGUACAAUUCCCAGUGGUCCACUCUGCAGAAUGAACCAAGUUCCAUUUUGCCCAACUUCUGGCAGUCCACAUUUGGACUGUGAGCUCACCUACAGAUAAAUCGUACGUGGAUUGAUGCAGUAACUGGAUUUGUAGCUGCUAAAUCUUAUUUAAGUGAGGACCUGUCCAGUACAUGUGAAGACCACCCAUCCACUGAAAGUGAUAAGUGAAGCUGAAUCAAUACUAGACUGAAUCAAUACUGAGCUGAAUCAAUACUUUCCCAAUUUUGAGGAAAUCUUGGAAAAUCUCUGAGAAAUGUGGUAGUAAUUAUUUUGAAGAAUUGGAAAACUUUAUAGCUGAUUAUGCUAUGUGUGGAAGAUACAACAGGAUUAUAAGAGAGAGAAGACAAUAUCCUUGCUGUGUCCAGAAGGCUUUAGCCGGGGUGUCCUACUGAGAGAUGACAAACUUAAGGUUUUUCUCUUCCCAGACAUUACUGGACAACUAGCUAUGUAAUUAGGUCUUAUGCCGAAAAGACUGAAAGGAAAACAUCUCAGAUCUAGGAAUGUGAUCAAGAAAGAAGGCUGGUUAAAGAAUAACAUGGGGAAAAUGAAUGCAGUGAAAUGGUUCACGCACAAGUUCUAGGAAUUCAGAGUGCAACAGCAGAAAUGCGAUUUUUGUUAGAUAUUUCAGAAAGUGAUGUGAGUCCCUGAGGUCAUACUGCAGCGUUCAGGUUCUGUUUGGCCUCCUGCACGAAGCUUUCCUUGAUUGGAAAAGCUGCAUACUCUGAAGCACAUCGCAUGUGUCCUGUCUGUAGUUCAUUUCAUUUCCCCAGAUUUGUUAUCAUCCACCAUCACUCAUACAAGCCUACCUUCUUCAUGCCAACCUUUGUAAUCUUUCUACCUUGCUAACCUGGUCAUGUCAAGGACCAGCUAAUAAAUAGCAAAGUUGUACCUUGAGCCAAGGUAUCUUGACUCUUAGUCCAGUGCUCUUUAUAUACCUCUGAAGUCUUAUUUGAGCUUCAAAAUUAUGAGUCUGUGCUCUCAAGAUUUUUUUGAAAAUGUACUUAAUGUUGCCCCUAAGCUUUUAUGAGAAAUAAUAAAGUUCUUUCCAGAUUG
rnacentral:lncRNA from 1 species